GAUGAACGCUAGCGAUAGGCCUAACACAUGCAAGUCGAGGGGCAUCACAUGAAGUAGCAAUACGGAUGGUGGCGACCGGCGCACGGGUGAGUAACACGUAUGCAACCUGCCUUCAACAAGGGGAUAACCCGUUGAAAGACGGACUAAUACCCUAUAACACAGGGGUCCCGCAUGGGGAUAUUUGUUAAAGGACAACCGGUUGAAGAUGGGCAUGCGUUCCAUUAGCUAGUUGGCGGGGUAACGGCCCACCAAGGCAACGAUGGAUAGGGGAACUGAGAGGUUUAUCCCCCACACUGGUACUGAGACACGGACCAGACUCCUACGGGAGGCAGCAGUGAGGAAUAUUGGUCAAUGGACGCAAGUCUGAACCAGCCACGUCGCGUGAAGGAAGACGGCCCUACGGGUUGUAAACUUCUUUUAUACGGGAAUAAAGUGCCCCACGCGUGGGGUUUUGCAUGUACCGUAUGAUAAGGAUCGGCUAACUCCGUG
rnacentral:rRNA from 1 species